rnacentral:rRNA from 1 species
GUUUUUAACCGAAAUUCUCUGACGAGAAAAACGAAAAACGCGAUAAAUAAUACCUAACUUUGUUGAUAAGAUAAAGAUUUGAGUUCUAAGGAUAAGUUGAGCGGCGGACGGGUGAGUAACGCGUGGGUAACCUGCCCUAUACACAUGGAUAACAUACUGAAAAGUUUACUAAUACAUGAUAACGUAGUUUUUCGGCAUCGAAGAACUAUCAAAGCGUUAGCGGUAUAGGAUGGACCCGCGUCUGAUUAGCUAGUUGGUGAGAUAACUGCCCACCAAGGCGACGAUCAGUAGCCGACCUGAGAGGGUGAUCGGCCACAUUGGAACUGAGACACGGUCCAAACUCCUACGGGAGGCAGCAGUGGGGAAUAUUGCACAAUGGGCGAAAGCCUGAUGCAGCAACGCCGCGUGAACGAUGAAGGUCUUCGGAUCGUAAAGUUCUGUUGCAGGGGAAGAUAAUGACGGUACCCUGUGAGGAAGCCCCGGCUAACUACGUGCCAGCAGCCGCGGUAAU